CUUUGGGACUGUCUUUGCAGACCUUGUACAUGCACAGAAACCUUUACAACACCCUGCAGGAGAGGAGCAGAGCCUCUUAAAGGAAGUCUCUGAAGCGAGUCGAUCAGGACUCAUUCCUGCACCUCUCAGUGAUGAAGCAGUGUCUGGACUUACGGGUGUGCAGCGUGAUGUUUCUGGUCUCCUUGUUGCUCUGGGACUGGACCAUCAGCUCAUAGGCCGUUCCCGGCUCCAGCUGCUCCAACACACAGUCUCUGCCUCCUCGUCUCCUACUCUUCUACACUCGGUGGUUUCUGAUCCUGAGGAGGUGACGGUAAAGGAGCAGUCCCUCCGGAGGGAAGUGAGGGUGAUGGAGAGGGAGUCCAGGUUGGAGACGGGGGAGGAUAAAGAGAAGUUACAGGGGGGAGACUCUGAGGGAGCGCCGCUUAGAUCCUAAUGAGGAGACAAAUAACAGUCAAUAAAACUCUG